UCCCCCCCCCCCCUAAUAAUCCAACUACUUUAGAGCAAUUCAAAUGAGGUACAGCCCAUUUGACACAGGAUACAACCUUCACUUACGGGUAAAACCUAGCUCAUACCUCAAAGUAGGCCUAAAAGCAGCCACCUUUUAAAAAGCGUCAAAGCUUAACACCCCCGAGCAUAUAAUUCAAAAACCCCUAUUAACCCUUCAACCAUACUGAGAACUUCUAUAACCCUAUAGAACCUUUUAUGCUAAAACUAGUAACAAGAGAAACCCCUCUCUCAUAAUGUAAACAUAAGCCAGCAAGAACCCAUCGCUGGCAAUUAACAACUAAACAAAAGUAGCAACCUCACUAGAAAACCCUACUCCUACCAACUGUUAACCUAACACCAGAACAUUACAAGAAAGAUUAAAAGAAAAAGAAGGAACUCGGCAAAUUCAAGUCCCGCCUGUUUACCAAAAACAUCGCCUCUUGCACCCCAUAAGAGGUCCAACCUGCCCAGUGACCCUGUUCAACGGCCGCGGUAUCCUAACCGUGCAAAGGUAGCGUAAUCACUUGUUUUCUAAAUAAAGACCUGUAUGAAAGGUUUAACGAGGACUAAACUGUCUCCUUUNCC
rnacentral:rRNA from 1 species